GACGAACGCUGGCGGCGUGCCUAAUACAUGCAAGUCGAACGGAAAGGCCCUGCUUUUGCUGGGCUCUCGUUUGGCGAACGGGUGAGUAACACGCGAGUAACACGCCCUUGUCUUUGGGAUAACUUUAGGAAACAGGGGCUAAUAUCGCAUAGGAGCUUCUGAACCAUGGUGGGCGUAGGAAAGUUUCGGCGUUUGUGGCUCGACUCGCGGCUUAUCAGCUUGUUGGUGAAGUAGUGGCUUACCAAGGCUUCGACGGCUAGGCGGCCUGAGAGGGUGACCGGCCACAAUGGGACUAAGAUACGGCGCAGAAUGCUACGGGAGGCAGAAGUGGGGAGUAUUACGGAGUGAGGGGGAGCCAGAUGCGGCGGCGUCGCGUGCGUAAUGACGUCCUACGAGUUGUGAACAGCUUUCUCCUGUGACGAAGAGUGCGUGACGGUAAUGAGUAAGAAAGCACCGGCUAACUACGUG
rnacentral:rRNA from 1 species